UCGCAUCCUUUUUCUCCUCCGCUGCUCUCUUCUUUUUUCUAUUUUGGCAUGGCGCCGAGUGCCUGUCCCCUCACCACCGCAUUUGGAGCUCACCGUCGUUAAAGGAUCCGACCGCCUACAGCCACGAGACCUCCCUCCCCCACUGAUGUGAGCAUCUCUCCCCCUUCCCUGCUUUGAAGUUUUCUCUAGCUGUUGCAUCUACAGAGGACGUCACACACUCCCCCAUGGCCCGACGAUUGAUGCAUGGGGCUGGUAGCGAUUCCGCCUUGCCGGAAUGCCCACCACAGGGUGUUGCUGCAAGCAAGGGGCACCGGUGGCUGUGGGUUGCGGCAAGGAAGACGGGGCGCGCUCUCUUUUUACGCCCAUGCCAUACCGCUGCUUCAACCGGCCAAAUUUUUGCUGGGACCGGCAAUGAUUUUUGCUGGAACCGGUGUCUGAUUUUGCUGGGGAUCUCGCAUAGGUGCUGAUAUUUUGUCGUGACAUAUUUGCUGGAACUAGCGACAAUUUUUGUUGGAACCGGCGAUGAAAUUUGCUGCAACCGGUUUCUAAAUUUGCCGGAGACCCUGCGUAAGUGGUGAUUUUUGCUUCGACAUUUGUCGAAUUUUGCUGGAACCAGCGACAAGUUUUGCUGGAACCGGUGAUGGAAUUUGCUGGAACUGACCAUUUUGGAGUUGCUCUGUCCGUGUCGGCAAACCUGCGGCAAGGGGCCGCUGGUGCUGGAAGCGGUGGUGAGCAGGAACGGGCUCCCUGUUUUGCUGCAAUCGAGCAUCCCAGAGCUAGAACCGGUGCCCCCCGCUGCUUCAACCCGUGAAAGUCUUCGCGCCGUGGAGACGGACGGCGUGUUGCGGGCUACCUUUUUGCUGCAACCGGCCAUCCAUUUUACUGGAACCGUCAUCAGUUUUUUCUGCCAUCGGCCACGCGAUUUCCUGCAUCCAGAUGCGCCCUCGCCGUCGACGAUGGAGUUUUUGCUGGAACCGGUAUAUGUUUUUGCUGAAACUAGCUUUUCUUUUUGAUACAAUCAUUCUUUUGUUUGCUACAAUCGAACCAUUGAGAGUCUUCUUGUUGAGCUUUUUUUGCUGGAAAUAGUGUUUAUUUUUGCCGGAACUAGCAAUUUUGGUUGCUACAAUCAACCAUUGAAGUUCUCCCUGCUGAGAUCUGUUUUUGACUGGACCUGAUGGUGCAAACCGACAACUGUGGCGAGCCGGAGGCGGGGUUACCCUACGAUGCUACAAUAAUGGCGCCCGCACACUGAAUCUGAUCAAUCUGAUUUAUUUUUAGAGUUGCAUUCAUGGUGAAUCGUGCUGGAACCAAUGGUGGUCCUGAUGCAAUCCAGACGGCCCCGAGGGGGGGACCUCACUAGAGCUCAUCGGGCACGGUCACGGGGGCACGACCUCACCGGAGCUUGUCGGGCACGGCCACAACGACGACAAGGAGAGGGAGUGGAGGUGUGCACGUGGGGGAGCUUGUGAAUCCCCUUGUUUUUUUCUCGCGAGGAAGACAACACAGAUAGGGCCAAAUCCAAUGGCUAAUGAUGAAUAGAUCGGGUGGCUAGCGUAAGACCGGACCAAACGUUGGGCCGGCUCGAGUACUGCCUUUUCAUUAUUAUUAUUAUCAAAACAAUGCUGCCAUUCACUUGCUCCCUCUCGGAGAGAGAUGCACGUAGAGUGGAUGGAGCUUGUAGCU